UACGAAGGACCCAAGCGUUAUCCGGAUUUAUUGGGUUUAAAGGGUGCGUAGGCGGGUUAUUAAGUCAGUGGUGAAAGCCUGCAGCUUAACUGCAGAACUGCCAUUGAUACUGAUGAUCUUGAGUAUGAUUGAGGUGGGCGGAAUGUGUCAUGUAGCGGUGAAAUGCUUAGAGAUGACAUAGAACACCCAUUGCGAAGGCAGCUUACUACGCCUAUAUUGACGCUGAGGCACGAAAGCGUGGGGAUCAAACAGG
rnacentral:rRNA from 1 species